rnacentral:rRNA from 1 species
CACGGGGGGAGCAAGCGUUGUUCGGAAUCACUGGGCGUAAAGGGCGUGUAGGCGGUCAGGUUAGUGAGAUGUGAAACGCCCCGGCUCACCCGGGGACCUGCAUCUCAAACUGCCUGGCUUGAGUAUGGGAGAGGAUGAGGGAAUUCCUGGUGUAGCGGUGAAAUGCGUAGAUAUCAGGAGGAACACCGGUGGCGAAAGAGCUCAUCUGGCCCAAUACUGACGCUGAGGCGCGAAAGCUAGGGGAGCAAACGGG